AAAAUGGAGAUGACGAAAUAUUUCGGAUGUAAACCUAUUGUCAUUGACUGAACAGCGCAUAACCCCGUGUUGAUACUCUCCGUUGCCUUCCUUCUGAUCCAUUA
rnacentral:snoRNA from 1 species